rnacentral:rRNA from 1 species
UACAGGGGGUGCAAACGUUGCUCGGAAUUAUUGGGCGUAAAGCGCGCGUAGGCGGCUACUUAAGUCGGAUGUGAAAGCCCUUGGCUCAACUGAGGAAGUGCACCCGAAACUGAGUGGCUUGAGUACUAAAGAGGGUCGCGGAAUUCCCGGUGUAGAGGUGAAAUGCGCAGAUAUCAGGAGGAACACCGGUGGCGAAGGCGGUUCUCUGGGCCUGUACUGACGCUGAGGAACGAAAGCGUGGGGAGCGAACAGG